UGGCGGAAUCGCACAGGCUCCACCGCAGGGAGUGGAGCAGAAUCAUGGCCGUUAUUACAGCCUGCCAGGGAGUAACGGCCGCAGAGAGUAGGGCAGAAUCAUGGCCGUUACUACAGCCUGUCCGGUUGGAGUUGGUGACGGAGCUCGGCCCCUGUAGGAGUUCGGUGAGAAUCUUCCUGCAAUUAAAGUCAAAGGCGAAGUCCGGCCCCC
rnacentral:lncRNA from 1 species